UUAAUUUCAAUAAUUUAUGUUAAUUACUUAAGAGUUAUAUCACUUGUUUCACUUUGUUGAACCUUGUGAACGCUCUAAUGCCAAAAGUUAUUAUCCGAUCUUUGUGAAAUUUACAUGCAGUAUUUAAAUUAGUGAAACAAAGAAGCCUAUUGAAUUUCAGCAAUUUCCAUUUAUUAUGUCUAGAGUUAUGGCCCUUGUGUCACUUUGUUGAACCUUGUGAACUCUUUAACGCUGAAAGUUAUCAUCCGAUCUUUGUGAAAUUUAUAUGCUUUAUUUAAAUUAGUGAAACGAAGAAUCCUGUUGAAUUUCGUCUAGAGUUAUGACCCUUGUUUCACUUUAUUGGCACUUGUGAACGUUCUAAUGCCAAAAGUUAUUAUCUUGUCUUUGUGAAAUUUAUUAGCAUUUUUUAAAUUAGUAAAACAAAAAAGCCUAUUGAAUUUCAGCAAUUUUGCAGACCCCGGUCAUAUCCUAAAACCCCGGUAACUUUUCAAAACCCCGGUAAAACCUGAAACCCCAGUAAAAUACCUAACCCCGGUAUUAGAAACCCCGGUAAACCCUGCCAAAACUAAAACCCCGGUAAAAAUCCGAAACCCCGGUGAAAUCUCACCGGGGUUUCCAUACAGUAUAUAUAGAACCUCACUCACUAUGUGAGAUAAAUCAGUCUGAAGAGUUCAAUUAGAAUGAAACUAGUCACUGCUAUAAGGGAUAACUGGUGAAAUCGCCCAUCUCUACAUCAUUUAGAUUGCUGAAACCACGAAAUCUAUUGAAUUUCAGAAAUUUACAAUAAUUACUUCUAGAGUUAUGUCCCUUGUUUCACUUUGUUCAACCUUGUUAAUGCUCGAUUGAUGAAAGUUAAUAUCCGAUAAGUAUGAAAUUUAUAUGCAUCAUUUAAAUUUGUGAUACAGAGGUCUAUUGAAUUUGUGAUUUUUCCGUAGACAAUUUCUGCCAUUAAUAUUGGGUGAGCUAUCGUGUCUUGCAACAGAUUUUUAUUCAUUUUGAUACAAUAAUAGGGCCCAGGUCUUGUGUCAUCUAACUAGUCUAGGCUAAAGUAUUAGUACCGUAAUCCAUUUAGUCUUGCACUAAUAAUAAUAGUAAUAUUACUUAUUAGUAAUAAACUCAUAAGGAAUAGCCAAAAAUUGCAUUUUAAUCUCAUAUUCAUAAUGGCAGAUUAGGGCUUGCUUAUGUUAUUAUUGGCAUGUUAAAUUACCCGAAUGAAACCAAUCAGACUGAAAGAUGCUCGCGCGAAGUAAACUUUGUCCGGGCUAUUUAAUGGAUUACCACAAUGAUAGUACGCCUAAUGUUACUAGGUAUUCACCAUGGAGCACUUCGUUAGUAUUAGUCAUUUUAUUGAAUUUUGUUACACGGAAAGAAAAGUAUGACCGCAUAGUUGACUACCUGAGAAGAAGAAGUGGUAGCGAGAACUCUUAAAUGGUUUAUUUGGUGGGUGAAAGAGAAGGGCUUUGAGUUAUAAAGCAGUUUCCGUCGAUAGGUCUACAUGACAUACUCUGUGAACCUACAAGUACCAAAGAAAAGAAUGAGAGGAUAGUGUGCUCAUGUGUUGGCAAUAAUAAUAGUGAUUGAAAUGGAAGAUAGCAGGAUAGAAAAAUGUCCCUUCUCAACCAUCAUCGACAAGUUUACCACAGCAGUGAGAUAAGCCAAGGGUGGCGAAAAUUUAACCAGACCCUGUUUCACAGAUUAUAAUUUCAAGACCUGGGAAUAAAAAAUCAAGUAUCAAACCUUGGAGGACUGUCCAAUCUCAUACUUGGUGAGCAGCACAGCAGACUUCUUAACAACAUCCAUUGGCCCUCAGUUUAUUUGCAUAUCAUGCACCCCUUAUGCAAGUGACAACUCAACUGACAACAGAGAACUCUGAUAAAUGUGGUGAAAUAGUUUUUCCAAAACCAGUUGAUGUACAUUUAGAUUUAAAUCAGAUAGAAAAGAUGAAAGUUGAGUGGAAAU